rnacentral:rRNA from 1 species
GUGGGGAAUCUUCCGCAAUGGACGAAAGUCUGACGGAGCGACGCCGCGUGAGUGAUGAAGGCCUUCGGGUCGUAAAGCUCUGUCAUCGGGGACGAAUGGUCGUUGGAGUGGAAAGCCAGCGAAAUGACGGUACCCGAGAAGGAAGCCACGGCUAACUACGUGCCAGCAGCCGCGGUAAUACGUAGGGGGCAAGCGUUGUCCGGAAUUAUUGGGCGUAAAGCGCGCGCAGGUGGGAUCUUAAGUCCAUGUUGAAAGUUCGGAGCUCAACUCCGUGAUGGGAUGGAAACUGGGAUUCUUGAGUACCGGAGAGGAAAGCGGAAUUCCCCGUGUAGCGGUGAAAUGCGUAGAUAUGGGGAGGAACACCAGUGGCGAAGGCGGCUUUCUGGACGGUGUCUGACACUGAGGCGCGAAAGCCAGGGGAGCGAACGGGAUUAGAUACCCGAGUAGUCC